GUAAGCAAAUCAAAAUCAAGUCUACCAUACACAGAAAGUGGAACCCAUAACUGUAGACAAGUCACACCAGUGUUGUUUCCUCCAGUUGGCAUUUUCAGCUAGAGGAAUAAAAAGUUUGGGAACUCUUUGAGUUCAUUCACGCUACUUGGUGACCCUAUGGGAAGGAGCUGUUUCUACAUCAAGACUACCUAUGCGACAAACAUAGUAAGUAUAAUCAUGGUAGCUUGAAGAAGUCUCCUAAUCUAUCUUAGGCCACACGUUCCAUAUUUUUUUUGACCACAUCCAAUCUAGGCAAGUCCAGAUAUGGUCUGGAAAUCACUCCAACUUCAUCAAAUCAUGGAUUUUGGUACUAUGCCUAGUAACUAUAUACUCAUCCCACUAUAAUACAGCUCAAAGUGGCCACAAUUCACGCAUUAACAAUGCUAAGUGAAUGGCUAUGGUUAGAAUUCAUGGGUAGUAUGAAGAGAUCCUGAAGGGGGCUGUUGCCCCCCACAUGGCUUCGUAGCUGAGCCAACACAGCACUGAAGCAAGAUGUGGGGGUGCAUGAGGAUUCGGUUGGGGGAUGCUGAGAGCAUCCCAUAGCAGAUUAAAGGGCAGCAUCAAAGAGUGUUCCCUUCAGGUCCCAGAGGGAGGAUGCGGGGGGGGGGGGGGACAAGAGCAAAGGCGAAGGAAGACAGAGGAGAGGAGAAAACAAAAGCAAGGAAAGGAGGGAGAUGAAGCAGACAGUUGUGGGGAACAGGAAAAACUACAAAAAGGAAGUAGGGCUGCUGCAAUAAACAUACUGGAAAGAGGAGAAAAGGAAUCUAGGGAAGUGAGAGACUGAACAGGUCAAAAAUGGGUGGGGAAAGAUGGCGUCCAGUGAUGAAAAGGGGUAACCACACUCUUGCAGUAAGGUCCCACCAAAUUGUUCUCUAAAGAGAUCAUCUGAGGUUCUUAGGACUUUUUAGGAGGUUUGUAGGAGCUGAUGGACAGGAAUAAAAAUGACUGCGUGAAUGGCUUGGAGCUUUCGCUAAAGAUGAUUGAAUUGGUAAUCAAUUGGUGCAUUCAAGUUGAUAGAUUCAUUGGCUGUUUGAUUAAACGUGCUUUGUUUUAAAUUGUCUUGGUACUCCCUGAAGUGAACAGAGGCAUGGGAAGUUUUAUAAAUAAUAUAAAAUAAGUCAUCAUUUCAGUGAUGUAAAGACCGUUUAUCUUGUGCGGACUUUUUUCCCCCUUCAGGGACAUGGAAAAUUUUCAGGUUUUGUACAGAUACAAAAAUGCAGUUUACAGAAACAGGUUGACCCGAUUCUCAUCCUUCUUAGGAAUUAGGGCUGCUUGUCAUGGUGGCUGCUUCCCACUAUUCCUUUCCAACCAGUAAAGGAAAGAGGGUGAACCAGAGUCAUCUUUGGAAACCAACACAACUCCCAGGUAUGUUUUACUGCUUGCAUUUUUAAGCAGGACCUUUCAACUGGCUCACAGUUAAAAUUACUGCUUCCGUUGCAACUACCAAAAGGAUAAACUGCAGAGUAAAUGUACAGCAUAACAGUACAAUGAUAAAAUAGAACAUACUGCUUUAAGUGAGAUUAAUGCUUCCCACUUGGAAGGCUUCCAAACUGGUGUCGUCUAAUUGAGUUAAAAACGUGUCACAUUCCCCAUUAAGUUUCCAAUUCUUCUCAUUUGCCAGCAGAAAUAUAAAUGUCAAUAAGAACCUUCCCAGUUUCAAAUUGCAAACCUCAACACCACUUGCACGCUUGAGCUGCAGUGAACCUUUACAGCAGAUAUGGUGAAUCUCUGGCCCUCCAGGUGUUAUUGGACUCCAGCUCCCACCAGCUUCAGCCAGCAUAGCCAAUGGUCAGGAAUGAAGGGUACUGUAGUCUAGAGUGGCAUGGGCUCCCCAUCUCUGCUUUAUGGGAUCAAGAUGUCCAGAAUGGUAGCAUCAACAUCAAAGACCUGGUGUCCCCUUUAACUGGAACAACAUUGAUCACAGUUUUAAAAUAUGAAUUGCACAUUUUAAGGCAUAUUCUGCCCUUUCCAGACAUGCUUCGUAUAUUGGUAAAUAAGGUGUAUGGGGUGUGUUAAGGGAGGGGUAUUACUUCUGGUGGGGGGACAUAUCACACUCCUUCUGGGGUAGUUUGUCCACCUUUGGUCCCCACCAUGUGCUCAGCUCUCACCUGUGGCUCUUAGAAGCUGUCAGCAUGCCAAGAGCAGGCACACCCUGAGAUAUGGCUUUGACUGGCUAGCUAAACCAGGUGAGGGUAGUUGAUGGGUCUCAAACCCUCAGUGAGUUAGGGACUUCCCCUGCAUGCAAAGACAGGCUCCAACAGAUUGUGUGGCGAGACCAAUGGUGGAUCCAAUGGUGAAGAAGGCAGUUUCUGCAUGUGCUGUGGAGGGAAGUGGGGGACAGAUGAGUUGCUCAGAGCAGGCCGACUGAAUCAUAGAGGCAUGGGAGACCACCAAAAGUACCCCAUCAAAAGAUCUCAUUGGUAGAGGUGGAGCGUAAGGAAUCAUACAUGUCACCAUAGUGAGGAAGAUACAAGACAGCUUGUGUGCCUAACGAGAUGCAACUGUUGAUGGGCAAUUUCAAGGCUUCCACUCCCCCCCUUUUUUUCUCUGAACAGCCCUCAAAAAGAGGACCCCUUCAAACAAAAAGAGAGGGCCGCUUUCUGUAAAAUAGGACACACGGCGACCCUAUUCUCAACCCACUAUCUGGUAACUUUUUUAAUGGGGGGGGUUGAAAUUGUGGGUCCAUCUGUAUUGCAAAACAUGUGCUCUACCAUUGAGAUAUGGUCCCUCCCUUGAAUUGAUCCAGAGUAAAUGGUAUUGAUCCAGACAGGAGGUAAGCUUAAUAUGGGGGGGGGAGGGGGUUAGCUAGAGCAGAGAGACGUCCAAGGCCUACAGCAACACAGCAAAUCAUAAAUUCUAAAUAAAUCAAUGUGAUGUCUUUGUGUAACAACACUACUGCGUGGAUAAUAGGCUGUACGAGAAUGUAAUGUAUGCUGCAGUCCCUAUCGUUUCCCAACUUAGGAAAGAAAAAUAACAAAUGCUUGAAAACUCUGCCAAACAACAAAGCUGAGAUUUUAUACAUGCACAUCAAUUUCGCCCUAAAGCCUUAAAAGCCCGAGGGUCAUCCCAGCCCCUUUAAUACCAAAGGGCCUAACUAUGCCGCCGAUCGUGCACCAAGCCCAAACCUGCUUUUGUCUGAGAAAAGAUGAAAGCUCCCUAAAACAGGUGAAGGCUCCUUUUGAAUCAUCACCUGCAAUUAAACAAAGGGAAACUUAGAGGAGGAGAGGUAAGCUGAACUCUCUUUUAAAAGACACCAGCAGAGCAGGUGGAUGCUUGCCGAGGAUGGCUGUGGUGUCUGCUGUCAUUCUUUCACCAAAUGAUGUGCAGUCAUGAGGAUUUGCUGCACGGAGGCAACAGGUCAGUGGUGACGAAGGCUGAUGAGGGCAGAGCACGGGAGGAGAAGGGAGGAGGAGAGGCAAGGGAAAAAAUUGAAAUAUAUAUACACAGCCCACAUAUAAGACUCAAUGGGAGAAGACUUGGUUGUUUAAUAGCAUUCCUAGAUCUCUGAUGAGUUCUACUUGCAAAGAGAAUUUCUUUAGGACCAUCUAUCAGAGGUAGAUUACUUCACAUAGACUAACCAGAAUAUCGAAAAUACGUACAUCCUGCUGGAGAUGUAUAUCGCCAAGAGCAGAUUGUUUGCAUAUCUUCUGGCAGUGUGAAAAAUUAAAGUAAUUCUGGAAUAGUGUAUUUGAAAGUACAAGAAAACACUGGCUACAACUUGCCACACACUCCAGAAACAGGUUCUCUUUGCUAUCUGAGGUGAGUCUGACAGACUCAGAAGCGAUGGCAACUCUUCUAGAGACAACCAGAAAUUGCAAUAUUCGCUAAAUACUGGAUGAUUGAAGAGACCCCUCAAUUGAUAGACCAUCUAGAGAAAGUAUGGCAUGUAGCUACUUCUAUUAAAUUGACAUACUUAAGAAGAGAAUAACCAACAAGAGAACAAGUUAUUAAAACAAUGAGCCCUUUUCAUAAGGGUUGAACAUACCUGAAAAUAAGUUACAAAGGGAGAUGCUACCCAACUCUGCAUUAUACACACACACACACACACACACACACACUUUUCCCAUCCCUCCCUUCCCCUUUUUCUUCUUUCCUUCUCUUUUUCCUUUCUCUCUUCUUUCCACCUUUCUUUUCUCCUUUCCUCCCCCUUAUUUGCCUCUUCUCCCAUUUUUUUCUUCUCUGGUGUUUUCUAGGGAGGGCAUUCCACAAACAGGGAGCCACCAACAAAAAGGCUCUAUUUGUUGCUAACAUAUAAAGCCCUACACAGCUCAGGUCAUCUGAGAGGCCACCUGAUCCCUUAUAUAUCCAAAGAUAUCAGAAACUUGUUUCACAGUAACUCAGAGCAGGGCUCUCAGUGCGGUUACCUCUGUUUUGUGGGAUAGCAUUCCUGUCAAGAUAAAACAGACACCCACUUUCCAGACACCCACAUUCCAGAAACAAUUGAAGACAUUUUUGUUCUGAUGCAUUUUUUGAAGCUGGAUGUAUAAGUUUCCUCACUGGGUGUCUAUUUUGUUUUCAUAUUUUAAAUAUAUUUGCUUUUGUGUUUUUGACUCCUUUUUGAUGUUUUUGUUGCACAUUGCCUUGAAAUGCUUGUGUAGAAGGUGAUUAAUAAAACAACAACAAUAAUUAUUUUGUCCCAAUUUUGGUUAGUAACAAUUAUUCUUUCCUCAGUUUCACUCAUAUGUUCCCAUGGCACUCAUCCAAGGCUUUGGAAUACUAAACCUGCUGAGCAGGUAACGGUAGUUACUUUCAUUCUCCAGGUCUUUGCAAGAACUUGCAAUUGUGGUAUUUAAAACAUUAACAGCAUUAACUCAUUAGGCCAAAGUUUGCCUCGGUGCAAAUACCACAAUGUCCACUCCAUGGAAGCCAAUAGGGAAAAAGGACUGUUUAAAAAUAAUAAUAAUUUCAGUGGUACUCAGCUCCAUAUUAUGCCAAUCAUUUUGGGCCUGGCUGCAGGAAAAGAACAAUCACCUGAUGUCUACAUAGAAGUCAGCCCCAUUGAGUUCAAUAGGGCUUACUCCCAGCUAAGUGGGUAUAGGGUUGCAGCUUUUGUCCAUUAGAGUCAAUCCAUUAAAAACCUUUUAAUCAAUUAAAAAGGUGCACUAGAAAGGUGCCAGCAAACGUCUGCUGGCCCAGGAUAAAUGGCUGCUAGGCUACUAACUGGAACUGGUCUGAGGGGAGACACCCUCUGAUGCAGAUUCACUGGCUGCUGGUGUGCUCCUGAGCACAAGUCAAAGCGCUUACUUUUCAAGCAGCUUUAUAUGAGGACCUGAAGUACCUGUCUUUUCUCUUCUUCGGCGAUCACUCAUAGCCGAGUAAGACUGUCUUCCAUAAACACGGUUUUAACAAUGAGUCCGUAAGUGACUGUGGAGGCCAAUUCUGGAUCCACAUGUCCUUCCACAGUGGGGACAUUGGUUUCAGAGCGGGAGUUGAUCACGGUGUGGAUUUGCCAAGCGUGCCUUCCUCUUAGCACGUUUCUCCCUUGCGUCCUGAGUUUGAGUGUCUUCAAAGCCCAUGACACCUUUGGUAAAGGCUAUUCUCCAACUGGAGUGCUCGCAGGCCAGUGUUUCCCAGUUGUUAGUGUUUAUACUACAUUUUUUAAGAUUUGCCUUGAGACAGCCUUUAAACCUCUUUUGUUGACCACCAGUAUUACGCUUUCCAUUUUUACGUUCGGAAUAGAGUAGUUGCUUUGGAAGAUGAUAAUCAGGCAUCCAUACAACGAAGUCCAACGAAGUUGAUGUUGAAGAAUCAUUGCUUCGACACUGGUGAUCUUUGCUUCUUCCAGUACACUGAUAUUAGUUCGCCUGUCUUCCCAAGUGAUGUGUAGAAUUUUUUGCAGACACUCCUUUCGAGGAGUUGGAGAUGGUGUUUAUAAGUGGUCCAUGUUUACAAGCAUAUAGUAAGGUUGGUAGUACAAUAGCUUUGUAAACAAGCAUUUUGGUUUCCCUGCAAAUGUCCUGGUCCUCAAACACUCUGCACUUCAAUCCGGAGAAAGCCGCACUCGCAGAGCUCAGGCGAUGCUGGACUUCACAUACCAUGGUCAGAGGGCCUUCUCUGGUCCCUGUUCAUGGCCACCACCACACUCAUCUGCUGGCAGUGACGCUUGUUAAGUUACCUAUGCAUUGUGUGAAUAAACCCUUGAUAUAUUUGUAAUUGUGUUUACACACUGAAAAUCAAAAAACCUCUUUUGAAAAAAGAUCCUUGAUAUAGGCUUAUAUAUUCUGAACCUUGGAGUUCUCAGGGUGGCUUCAUUCUAAUGUUUUUGGAAACAGAAAAGAACAAGUGGGGAGUGCUCCUGUUCGGGAUGCCUCCAGGAUGUGCCCAUUCCUUCCCAAGGUCAGUGGACAUGCUCAGUCUUCAUUUUGUCAUCAUCGUCCCCCACAAAGCUUUUUCCCCAUCAUCUCUACAGACCUUGGGGUUUCCUCAAGCCUACUGAUCCUCUUCUGUGAAGAUGGUACUAUUCUGGCAGUAUCACCACUAGAAGAAUGAGUUUGCUAGAGUUCCCCCAGAAGCAUGCAAUGGCACUUGCUGUGUGAUCAACUCCUCUCCACCAAAGCUGCUCACCAGUCAUUCUGCGGCUCAGUUCCUCUUUGCUUGGCCUUCACUGGCUGUGCCCAUGCCCUCUUACCCUUCUGAUUCCACUAACAGGCAUUUAGAUUGGUAAGGAGAGGAAGAGCAGAUAAACAAUAUAAGCUCUGCCAAGCUAGCGUAUCAGUGUUGGGGGCCUCAGCAGUGGGGAAAUGAGCUACCAGGGGGAAGCUGGGGACAGGGAGGAAAAUCAGAAGCUCCUGGAGGGGAUGACAAUGGGGAGGUCAGGGAGUCCUUUAAUCAGUGAAUGAAAUCAUCAAGCCCUGAUCCCUGCCAGACACACACACACACACACACACACACCCACCCUGCAUUUUAGCUAAAUAUUGGUUCACCUGUAGCCCUAUGAAAAGCAGAAGCUAAGGGGCUCAGCACAAAAAGGCCUCAGGAGCCUUGGCUUACCUGUAAUUUAAGAACUCCCCCCCCCCCCAAAUGGUGAUCUGCACUGUCAGUGCUUUUCAUCUAUUCACAUUUGUGUUUAUACAACUGUUUUCUUAGUUUGCUGGAUGGUGUCAGCAAAGAAAAAUGAGUUUCUGAAGUACAGAUCCCCCAAACCACACUGACCACUAGAAAUGAAAAUGAAGAAACACAGCCAACUCUCAGAAAACAACUAGUAUUCCUGAUGUAAAAGCUGGAAUCUCGAAAAAGAAGAAGAAAGACCAAAAAGAACGGGAAAAGAAAUGCUUCCAGCAACAACAUUAUGGAUAAUAAUAUGCGUCAUCCACCAGAUAAGCUGUUGCUAAGAAAUGAGUACAGAUGCGCCAACAUCUCUUUAGUGCAGGAAACUGCUGGGUCAAAAAUACUGAAAUUAAAAUACCCUUUUAAAAGAUGCAGGUGUAAAACACUGGAGUUUGGUUGACAGGAGGUAGUCAAUGGAAGGUUGUUGUUGUUUUAUGAAAAGGAGUGGAUGAGAAACAUCUGUAACAAGAAAGAGUGUGCUUUAAAAUGCAGAGCAAAUACCCCUUAAAUCUUGCUGCAAGUCAAAUUCUGCUCUUGGGUGCAAGUCAAUAAACACCAUCGACUUCACAAAGAGACAGUUAUAAAUAUUCAAAAGCAGAACUUGAUCCAGUGUAUGAGAAUGACUGUACGGUACACACAGAGAGAGGGGGGGAGAGGGAGAGAGAGUUGUUAUUGAGUGUUUCUGAAGGCAAUGUAUUUCAACAUUCCAAGAAAAGAAGAGGCCUCUAGAACAGAUCAACCCUGUGCUGGAACCAAGUGAAAACUACCCCCUUGCUGCAGUGCUGGGGCAUGUUGUAACACUUUGCGUGUUGGUGCUCCCCUGGAGCAUGACAUGCAGCUACAGAAUAAUGAAGACAUUGAAUGGCUUGAUUGACAGGGCUCCAGCGGCGCACAGAAAAGAACAAUGAUUGCAACAUAGUGGCAACCCCCUCUUGGAUUAAAAUUUCCUUCUCAUCUGCAGAAUCAGGAGGAUGCCAGCAUUUGUAAACAUGCUUUAUUAAAACAGUUACCACAGUCACACAUAAACGCAUGCACACACACGCACACACACACACACACACACACACACACACACACAAAUGUAAUAAGAACUGAGGAAGGUUCAUCCUAAAUAGAACUCAGUGGCAAGGCUAGUCCUACUGUUAGGCAGAAUGAGGCAACCGCUGCAGGUGGCAGAUACUGAAGGGAAGCUGUGGAAACCCUCGGGCUGUUAUUUUUAUACCACUUUAUAAUCUCCUUUUCUCCAAACUCUGCAACCUUUGUUAAUGGUAUAAUGGUGUUUUAAGUUUUUUAAUGUAAGUCACUUGGAGACCUUUGGGUAACAGGCAACUAAGAAGUCUAAUAAAUAAAAUAGUAAAUAAAUAAAUGGAAGUAUUUCCUGCACUUGGAGAGCCCCACCCUCUAGGAAUCCAGCACCUGCCUAGUUGCAUAGCUCCUUCCAGGUCUCUGCUGCUGUUUUUGUCAUACUACAGUGUGAUGAAAUGUCAGGAACAUGAUUUGAUAGACAGAUAGAGAGAUGACCCUGAUGUGCCUUCUUCUGAAACACGAAUCAAGUAUUUCAAUUUCCAUGGGUUCCUUUUACAAGGGCAGCUUGUAACAUGCCAUAACUUUAAGGAUAUGAUUACUGGGGACUCUUAGGUAACUCUGUUGUUGUGCCCAACAAGACACUGAUGUUUUAAUCACAUUACUGAACGGUGUGUCUGUUUACCUUAAACCAUCAAUGUUCAGUUCUUCAAAGCUCUUUGUAUUUGGGUUCUCACCCUAUAAGCUCAUAAAGCAUCUAAGUUUUUUUACCUCCCCCUUCUUCCGUUCUUCAGACUGUGCAGUAACUACAUUACAGUUGGCACAGCACCAUAAAAACACAUUGGCAGCCAAACAAAUAGCACCACACGAGACCCAACAUAAUUGUGGGUUAUUGAAAAAUGCUUCCUGUACAUGGCUGGAAUUCCCCUUGCGAGCUGAAAAGUUUUCUUAGCUGGCCAAAGUUCACUGUCAGAAGUGCCUGCACACCUUCAUGUCCUCCCCUGGAGGACACACUUGAUCCAUGACUUCAAAGCUCAGCCAAACGAACCUGUCACUUACGCCUUAGAACUCUUGUCCAGUGCCACCUAACCUGGAAGCCAGCUAACCCUGGGCUUGGGGCCAAGGUAUCACUCACAAAAUCCCACCCAGCACAAACGUAAGGAGCAACAGGGGAGGGGGAGCACAAAGGAUUGAAGGAAUUAAAUAGGAAGGGAUUCACUAUCUUCUCCAAGUUACUUCUCCAGGUGACUCCCUUUACUUCUGUACCUGAUAAAGCACCCUCAGCCCCCAACUGCACCAAUGGUCUCCUGCACAAAGUCCAAGCCGAAAGUAUUUAAUGCCAUCAAAUUAUAUACUUGGUUGUAUUUAUGGUGUAAGUCCCUCUUGAUUGCAGGUUCAGGUACUAUUUAUUAUUGUUAUAAUUACGGUACUAUUAUUGUUUUUAUUAUUACUACGUACUACUGCUGCUACUAAGGGACACAGGUGGCGCUGUGGGUUAAACCACAGAGCCUAGGACUUGCCAAUCAGAAGGCUGGCGGUUUGAAUCCCCGCGACGGGGUGAGCUCCCGUUGCUCGGUCCCUGCUCCUGCCAACCUAGCAGUUCAAAAGCAUGUCAAAGUGUAAAUAGAUAAAUAGGUACCGCUCCAGUGGGAAGGUAAACAGCGUUUCCAUGCACUGCUCUGGUUCGCCAGAAGCGGCUUAGUCAUGCUGGCCACAUGACCUGGAAGCUGUACGCUGGCUCCCUCGGCCAAUAAAGCGAGAUGAGCGCCACAACCCCAGAGUCAGCCACGACUGGACCUAAUGGUCAGGGGUCCCUUUACCUUUACCUUUACUGCUGCUACUAUAACCAUUGUUAUUACAUACAUAACAUAAUUUUCUUUGUAUACCACCUUUGCGCCGUUCAAACCAUGCUCAAAGUGACUUGCAACUUGAAAAAAAUACAUAACUACAAUGUAACAAAAGUAGUGAUAUUAACAAUAAAAUAUUAAAAAAUACACAACCAAGUGGAACAAUUUCCACAUAAAUCACAAGAAGAUGUAAAAUAUACAAAAAACCAACAGCAGCAAACCCCUGUCAACAAGCCUCCAAACAACACCCCAGCCCUAGACUUUACAAUUAUACAAUUGUAUAAUUGUAGAGGCAACUCUCAUUUUAUGCACGUUCAAGGCAUGCAAAACCACGGAUGCAUACUCUUUUUUCAACCCCAGAAGGGGACAGAACAGGGCAUGGGGCACAGGGCGAGCUUAUACAUGCCCCACUAACAAUGACCCAAAAUGCAACUCCCCAGCAAAAGGGGAGUAGCCUGUAUAAGAUUGUGUGUAUAAGAAUUUACAGUUAUUAUGAUUAUUUUUACAUUUAUAUCUCACUGUUCCUCCAAGGAGAUCAAGGAAAUUUCAUUAUUCUUUUGCUCCCAAUGUUAUCCUUAUAAAAACCCUGUGAGGUAGAUUAGGCUGUGAGGCAGUGUCCGGCACAAGGUUACCCAGUGAGUUUCAUGGUUGAGUGGAGAUUUGAACCCUGGUCUCCCAGGUGCUAACCACUGCAGUCUGGUACAGACUCAAUGGUGGGGGGAAAUGAAAUAGACAAAUAAUAAAAUACACUCUUCUAAUUUAUUCUCAAACAAAUGAGUUUUUAAACCCUGGUGGCUAUCACAACUUAUUCUCUUCUACUUUAACACUUUCUGUAAACACAAGCCAUACCCCUGCAAAGGUCUUCCACCACUAGACUCAGUUCAUAUUUAUGGUGGGUUAAUUAAUUCAUCUGCAUGCACCAAAUCACCAUAAUCUGACGCUGAACCCCCCAGCCACCUUGAACUGCCUUGCCACUUUUACUACAGAUUUAUGACUCAUGAGUUGUAUUGCAGUUUAAAUAUUAAUACUUCAGGCAAAACAUCCUUUCCUGUUCCCCACAGCAUAACAUCAUUGCUAAUCUCUCCCCUUCAUGUUAAAACAUUUUCUAACUUUCAAACGGCACAUGCAGCACGCAAGAACAUUUUCAGCAUUGCAGAACCCAGGAGUAGAAUGACUAAAACCUGUGAUUUAUUCACCGGAGAGUUGUUGGAAUUUUGGCAGUGAUUUAUUCUCCACAACAAGUUGCUUGAAUUGCAACAUGGUACCCUAAUAAUCCAGAGCAUUUAACAUUUCAACACGAACAUUAGUCCUGUCAUAAGUAGUAAUAGUGACACCUUGUGCCUAUCAGUACACAUUCUAACCAGAAGUCUUGAGUCACCUAUGGUUUAGUAAGGCAGUCUGGAACAUAGCUGUCAACGUUUCCCUUUUUUUAAGGGAAAUUCCCUUAUUCCGAAUAGGAUUCCUCGCAAGAAAAGGGAAAAGUUGACAGCUAUGGUCUGGAAGCCUCUUGCAGAACAGGGGGAAAUGCUCUAAAAAUCAAUAAAUGCAUCUGCCAUGAUAUUCUCCAAAAGCCAGUAAAUAAAAACAGGUGGAGCCGACACAAGCAAUCCAAGUCAGCUUUGUGACCACGUCACUGAGGACUGACUGUUGAAAGUGAGGACAGUUUAGUUGGCUAACUGAACAUUUCCCCAAAGACUGCCAAAAAAGGUGUUUAGCACUGCAAAAGGUGUUCACAAAAACUGGUGGGUGUUAGUCCUUGCAUCUGCCUGAACAUUGCAUCAACAUUUUAAGUUCAUACCUCGUUUUGAGUAUGGCCACAUUCCUACCAUACAUUUAAAGCAUUAUGAUUCCCGUUUAAACAGUCCUCCCCCCCCUCCAAAUUUUUCAGUAAAGCAGUUUUGUUUAGACACGCUUAUUACUAGCAUGUAGAUGCUGAUGCGUUUUCAUCUGUUUUGCUAUUAAUUUUAAUUGUUUUGUUGUUAUUUCUUGCAAACCUCUUCAAGUUCAUGUGGUUUAUAAAUUUCGUUAAAUAAAUAAAUAAAAAUAAAUGCAGUGCUCCAACCAUAUUGCACACAAAAAUACAUAAACUGGGUUAAAGUGUGCAUCCAAAUGUAUAUAUUAGUGAAAACAGCAUACGAAAAAGCAUUAUAUUAGGGGGAAACCUGUUUUGCAAAAAUGUGUGCAGUGGACAGAAUCUCAUGUAAAUAUAUGCAUAUUAGGAGAAAUUACCAGGAAAGGCUGAUGAUUUUUCAUUAAAACUUUUUUAAAAAAGAAUUACUAACCAAUGUGGAAAUGUGAAGAACUGAAUUUAAUAUUGGAGAAAUGAGAAACCAAGAGAAACCAGAUUUUUCAAAUUUGUACAUUCCUAGGACUCCCAAGACACUUUGAGAACCGAAGAUAGUGAGCAUUUCUCUAAUUGCGUCAGCAUGGGGCAGUUUCUCCUUUCAAGUUCCAGGCGUUAUAGAAUAGAAUCACAGAAUUGUAGCGUUGGAAGGAACCCCAAAGGUGAUCUAGUCCAACCCCGUGCAAUGGGUUGAGAUCCUUGCUCAGCUCCGCAUUUGUAAAUCUGGGAUAACCAAUAAAUAACCAUAAAUGAUUGGAUUCCAUCUGCACAUAUUUCUAAUUUUAAUCAUGCGCCCUAAGAGCAAUGAAUGCAGGUAGGCAUGCAAUUAGAGUAUUAUUAGAAACGCAUAUUAAUGAACUUUUCUACACGUGUGUCUUCCACAAAGUAAUCAGCUAAUCAGAGCUGAUUAGUUGCUCAGAUCUAGUGGCAUUGUAGCCCAGCAUUGUAGCAAUCAUAAAAUAAUUCAUGAAUAAGAUUGGCCUGCUGUGUCAUUCAUGCAAAUGAAUUUUGCUUUGGCCAGUAAACUACCGUAUGUACUCAUCCACACCUCUGCUUCCCCCACUACUUUCCCCUGGGGAAACCCAGUAUUUACUGCUGAAUCAGAGCAAAACAUCAACCAAGUUUUCCAUGGAUUGGCAUUUGCUCUGAUUCAGCAGUAAAGAGCAGGUCUUCUAGAGGAAAGUAGCAUAGCAAAUGGAUAAACUGCUUGGACCUCUGCUUUUAGGGAGUAGUACAAGUUAAGUGUGAAUGACCCCUAUCUUUCAAAGAAAACCCCAAAAGUAUCUGCCACUUCAGCUAAUCACAAAAACAAACCCCUGUGUUACAAUGAGAAUGAAUCACAGAAAUAUAGACACAACACGUAGGCUAAUAACUGUUAGAGCAUAUAUAAUAGAAUAAUGAUAUCGUUCAAAAAGUAUAAAUAAAUCUAUUAGAGUUCAUAUAUACAAUGUAACAGACUACUGGCACAGAACGUCAAGCCAUGUGUUCAAGAUAGGUGUCAAAGGUCAGUCUCAUAAUCGUUAUACAGUGGUUCCUUGGGUUACAUACGCUUCAGGUUACAGACUCCGCUAACCCAAAAAUAGUGCUUCAGGUUAAGAACUUUGCUUUUUUAAAAAAAAAAAAAAAUUUAUUAAGGUUUUAAACAACAAAUGAAGAGGGAAAAAAACAUACGCAAUACAUAUAAGAACAACACACACAAGAAAGCAACACAAAAUUCAACAAUAAAAGAAAACAAAAAACGUAACAAUUAAAAACAAUAUCUCUUUUCCAUUUCCAUUCUUAAGUUACUUAUUUUCUGGACUUCCUCAUACCUCCCUCUUUUGUAUUCCAAACCAAAUUGCUUGUCCAGCAGUUUCUUUUCCACUUUUUUAAUCCCAAUCUUUAGUUUAAUAAAAUAUUAAAAUAUAUAACUUCAACUUCUUUAAACCUAAUCCUUGGUCUUAGUAUCAUAUAACAUUAAAAUUUUCCCUCUUAAUAUCAAAUUUCCAUUUCUUUACACAUCUUUAAUCUUAAUCUUUAAUCUUAGUCUAUCAUUAACUUUAACCUGUACAGCUGGAAACCACUUAUUUUCAGUCCAACAUCACUCUAACAUUCCUUAAUUUUGCAGUGUUUCUGGAGAUAGUCUUUGAAUUUCUUCCAAUCUUCCUCCAUCGACUCUUCUCCCUGGUCACGGAUUCUACCAGUCAUUUCCGCCAAUUCCAUAUAGUCCAUAAGUUUCAUCUGCCAUUCCUCCAGCGUGGGAAGUUCUUGUGUCUUCCAAUACUUUGCGAUGAGUAUUCUUGCUGCUGUUGUUGCAUACAUAAAGAAAGUUCUGUCCUUCUUUACCACCAUUUGGCCGACUAUGCCCAGGAGGAAGGCCUCUGGUUUCUUAGGGAAGGUAUACUUAAAUACCUUUUUCAUUAUAUAUCAUUUCCCAGAAAGCCUUAAUCUUUGGGCACGUCCACCAAAGGUGAAAAAAUGUACCUUCAGUUUCUUUACAUUUCCAACAUUUGUUAUCGGGCAAGUGAUAGAUUUUUGCAAGCUUGACUGGGGUUAUGUACCACCGGUAUAUCAUUUUCAUAAUAUUCUCUCUUAAGGCAUUACAUGCCGUAAAUUUCAUACUUGUGGUCCAUAACUGUUCCCAGUCAGCAAACAUAAUAUUAUGUCCAACGUCCUGUGCCCAUUUAAUCAUAGCCGAUUUUACCGUUUCAUCCUGAGUAUUCCAUUUCAGCAGCAAGUUGUAUAUUCUUGACAAAUUCUUAGUUUUGGGUAGAACUUUGCUUCAGGAUGAGAACAGAAAUCAUACUCCGGCGGCGCAGCAGCAGCAGGAGGCCCCAUUAGGUAAAGUAGUGCUUCAGGUUAAGAACAGUUUCAGGUUAAGAACGGACCUCCGGAACGAAUUAAGUACUUAACCAGAGGUGCCACUGUACAAAGGUUUCAACAGAAGACGUCUCAAAAGUCUAAAAAGUAAAGUUUUCUCAAUAGUUUUUCUGAGACAUUUUUUGAACCAUGCAAAUGUUCAGGCUCCCAUAUGGCAAUGUAUCUCUGAAAUCUGGAAUACAAUUCUUUUCAUUACUGAUGGAAUUUGAACUUAUUUAGAAUUUUUUUGAAGCCAUUGUGACUGUAGUAUGUAACUGCAAUCCGGAUUCCUCAGAUUUUAAAUAUAUUAACCAUACAUUUUAAAAAUAAAAAUAAAUGGAAGCUGCUGUUUAUUAAAUUGUAGAUCAUCUCAAAAGUAAAAAGGAAGGAAGGAAGGAAGCUAUGUUUCUGCCAAACCUAUCAAUAUCCUUCAAAACUGUAUUCAAUAAAAAAAGAUAAUUAGUCAACUAAAAAUCCAUCCACUGGUUCACUGCCCUAAAAUUUUAUAGUAAAGUAAAAAUAACCCCUUUUUAUACAAGACUAAUUAUUUAAUAUAUUUUAAUGUAGGUCUUGUACCACCCUGUCACGGGUAAGAUGCCUGUGAUGAUUUUUAAAAAUUUCUGUACUGAAUCCAGGAUUUUAUUUUGUUUUUAAAAUAAAUUUUACCUAAUUGCAACUCUGUUACUUCUACACACAAGCAUCUCAAACUGGGAGACUUGGAAAAACUUGUGAAUAUGUUAGUUAAAUGCCUUGAGCAUACACAAUGUUAUCAUCUUGUACCAAUUUAAUAAUAGUCAUUUAAAUUUUAAAUGAAGGCAAACUAAUCAAUAAAAACACACAUGGACUCUCAUGGGAUGCAGAGAGCCCUAAUCUGCAAUUAGCAUGCAAAUAAAGACACAGCAGGAAGCAAUGGAGAGUAUUGACUUAAUUGCAAUAUUUUAGGAAAGGCCUACAUACAAGGAACGAGUGGCAAUCUUGUUUUUUCAUCAGAGCAGACUUGGAUAUGUUUCAUAGACUUUGGCCAUGAUCGAAGGGAAGUUGUUGUGGCCAUUGAAGGGAAGACAUGCCUUCAUCGUGGGCUAAGUUAGAGCCAUCCUUUCAGCCUCACUCCCUAGUCUCAUAGGGCAACAGUGGGUUACGCUCCCUGGGAGGUGGAUGUCAAAGGGCAGCACUAGAGAAGUCUGAAGGUGAGGGUAGGAAAUGCCACCUGAAUCUUCCCAGCACCAAAGUCCACUUUAGAAACUGCCAUAAUGCACAUUGUGGAAUUUUCUCAUGUGCAAGCAGGGCUAGUUUUACUUUUUGUGGGGUUGCACUACAGUGUUAAAGCACAUUCUUUCCAUCCAAAAAUUCUGGCCAUUGUAGUUUCUUAAGGGUUGCUGAGAAUUUUCACUUUGUGAGGGGUUAACUUCAUUCCACACUUGCAAGGAACUGAUCUUUCAGUGUGGCAGCACCUAUAUUUUGGGAUUUCCUGCCCACUGACUGUUGUCAGUUGCCUUAACUGUGCUGUUUUCAGCACCAGAUAUAGAAAUUUGACACGUAUCUUAAAGUUAUUUUAUUUUAUAAUGUAUAUUUUUAUUUUUAUUUUUAAAAACCCUGCUGAUUUCAUUUAUUUAUUUUUUCAAGUUAACUUGUUUUUAACAUCUGAUUUUUUUCAGGAAUUUUACAUUAAAUAUAUAAUUAAGUGGUAUAUCAACCAUGCUGGAUAUGUAAAUAAAUGAUUGUCAUUCUUUCCCUGGGUUUCUGAUAUGCUUCUUCUAACUCUAUUCUUUCUCACUCAUCUUCCUGCCUUCCAGCAGCAUUAGCAUAUAAACAACUAUACACUGAUGUCCUCCUUUUCAUGUGGGAUUUUUCCCCCCAGUGAACUUUUUGGCUGCAAUCCUAGGCAGCCAUAUGUGCAGUUUGGGAAGAAGUGCCUAAACACACAGCUGGAGGUGUUGGGAACGCAUCUUUCCUUUGGCAGCUCAACCAGCAGAAUAGGAAACCUGCUUCCUUUUCCCUCCUCCCCCCCCAAAAAAAAACUUAAAUCAGCUUGCCUGUUCAACCAGAUGAUCAGUAAAAACCUUCAAAAUCAUCUCCCAUUUCAUGCAUAUUUCUCACACUUCUACACAUAUAGCUUUCCAGAGUCUGGUAUUUUUUCUUUUGACUUUUAAAAAGUGUCUCUCAACUACUGAGUGUUUGUUUUGAUUUUUUUCCCUCCCCUUUCACAUCUCCAAUUAGAAGGCAUAUUAUAUUGCCUCUGCUAAGAGACCAGCUCUCUUUGGUCCUACCUCAACUGUCACCUAGCAGUAGCCAUACCAUCAAACUACCUGAACUACUCCCAACUCAGCUGCUCAGUAUAAGAACUGUAGCUUUAAGAACUUGUACGUGAGCUUGCUUUAUUCCCUCUUCCGUCCCCAUCCUUUCUUCCUUGUGUGUCAUGUAUUUAUACUGCAAGGCCACUGGCUGUCUUACUAUUGAUCUUUAUCAACCAUUCUGAAAGGCUAUUUUGGCUAAAGGGGGGGGGGAGUCUUUAAAUAAAAAAAACCCAGUAGACAUUUCCAGUAGAGCAACAUUUUUAAGGAUUAAAUCCUCCCUCUUAAUUCGCUCACAUUUACACUGUACGCUGGGUACUACGUAUAAUGCAGUGCGCCUGUGAUACCCAAGCUAAAUGUAUACUUUGCGACCUGUGUGUAUAUGUGUAAAAGGUAAAGGUAAAGGACCCCUGGAUGGUUAAGUCCAGUCAAAGGCAACUAUGGGGUUGUGGCACUCAUCUCACUUUGAGGGAGCCGGCGUUUGUCCACAGACGGCUUUCCGGGUCAUGUGGCCAGCAUGACUAAACCGCUUCUGGCACAACAGAACACCGUGACGGAAAGCAGAGCACACGGAAACACUGUUUACCUUCCUGUCACAGCACUAUUUACUUGCACUGGCGUGCUUUCGAACUGCUAGGUUGGCAGUAGCUGGGACAGGGCAACAGGAGCUCACCCCGUGGACCCAAUGGUUUUAAAGAUGCUCUUGGAGUUGGAUUCCAACUUCCGUCAAUGCCAGCCAGUGUGCCCAAUGGCCAGGGAUGAUGGGAGUUGUAGUCCCCCAACUACUGAAUGACCACAAGCACCUCAUCCCUGUUCUGUUUAGUCCAGUUGCAAAACUGGAGUUGCAGCACCAACCCAAACCCACCCAUCCUGAAUCCUCUACAGAUUAGCAAAGUUAAACCCCAGCUGCUUUGAAAUCAUGCCUAAACCCAAGAGGUUUACAUUAGGUUUGAAGGAUGAAAUAUCAAGUGCUGUUUCUAUUUAUAAACUACUACACUUUUUUUUUCUUUUUGUCAUGCUGAUAAAUAUCACCUGAUGAAUCAGAUAAGAGAAACAUUGGCAGAAGCCCACAUUCUGAUCUCAUCCAAAGCCAGCCUGCUGCUGAUUAAUGAGUUGUGAUAUCAUAGUCUGUGAGGACACAUACUAAAGUGGCAGCGAAACAAGUAAGCACUAGACAGUGUCACACCUUCUUUCUUCUUUAAAAGUUCAAAUUUGUAACUUCACAAACAACUUACAUAUAAAUACAUUUUGUUUCAUCCAACACCUUGGUCCUCAAUUGUUGUUUUAUCCAAACUCAGUAUUUUUACUUCACGGUUUUAAUUCUAUUCACAACUGCUGUAAACAAAGAUCUGAACUACACAUUCAGGUCAAGAGAUAUAGCUCUCUUAGAAAUGUACCAGCUCAAUAUGUUGGUGCAAAUAUAUAUAUAUAGAAAGGAUAAUUCCUGGAUGCCAAGAUCCAAGUUUGGGGCAAGUCCUCUUUGGAGAGAGAACCCCAGGAGAGAUUUAAAGUCACAAAAUAUGCAGCAAAGUAAAGCAUAGAAAGGCUGCUGGACCUUUGAAAUAUGCCCUUCCAAGUCAGUUCCAGAAUGUCCCCUUAAAAAUUCUCUUUCCAAAGUUUCCGUCUUCUCCCAGUAUAGGGAAAAGACCCAGGCAUUUGGUAAGUUGAAAACUGGUUUACUUACAAAGAUCAUGUUAAUGUGCUUCAGAAAAGUUGCACAGGCAGUAAAACUUAGUUACUAAGCAAGUUGUAAAAACUCCUAGAUUAUUGGUAUAGGUACUCAAGAGAGGCUUGUGAAAGCCAUGAGGUUCAGCUGAAGCAAUCAGCUCAAACCUCUUCAUAAGCUGAUCUUCUGGAUAAAACAAUAGGCUUGAGUCUACUCAGUGUAGACCUAUGAAAAUGAAUGCACCCAACUUCAUCAUGUUCAUUAACUUCAGUAGAUCUAUGCUGAGUACAGCAUAUGACCCUAUGCCUUUUAGAAAUACCUGAAAACACAUGUAAAUCAGCCCAUGUGUAUAGGUAUGCCUUAAAGGGACCAAUGCAACUUAUGAUUCAAGUAUAUCAUUAGUAAGCUAAAGAACACUAAUGGGCUGUCUCUUAUUCUUUCUUUUUUGAAAAAAUGUCUCCGGGCUUUGUAACAUAAUAUGACAAAAUGAGUGGUUACAUUCCAUUCAUAAAUUGAUUAAACUGAAGAUCACACAGGUAAAUUAUAUGUAGAGGCUGGAAUUAGCACACAUAAUGAAUUUUUUUCUUUAAAUCUAACCAGCUAGCCAAUUGAUUUUUUACCUUCACAAUUCCAGUUUAUAGUGCCAUUUCUCUAAGUGAUGUUCUUCACCAGGGUCUAAUUUAAAUGAUGGAUCCUUCUCAAUUACUGUCCAUUAGAAGACAGGAAAACAUUAAAAUCAACAGAGUAUUGUGAGAAUUAUGGGUUAGUCUUUAAGUAGGAGAUUGUAAGUGAAAAUUAAUUUAACAUGUUCAUUUCUGACCUGGAUAUUUUAAAAGGGGGUGAGGCAGAAGAGAUUAAGCUAGAGUUGUUCUUUGACCAAGAAGAAGAAGAAGAUUGGGCAUGAUACGGAAGAGACAGGGGGCAGUUAGGGCAGUCAUAGAUUAAAAGCCAGAUGUUUAUCUUGUCCAAGGCAUGAAUAUGUUCCUCUGUGGAGGUAAAUGGAAAAGUUCCUGAAGGCAAAUAUUGGGUUAAAGGUAAAGGUAAAGGGACCCCUGACCAUUAGGUCCAGUUGCGACCAACUCUGGGGUUGCGGCGCUUUAUUGGCUGAGGGAGCCGGCAUACAGCUUCCGGGUCAUGUGGCCAGCAUGACUAAGCCGCUUCUCGCGAACCAGAGCAGUGCACAGAAAUGCCGUUUACCUUCCCGCCAGAGUCGUACCUAUUUAUCUACUUGCACUUUGAUGUGCUUUCGAACUGCUAGGUGGGCAGGAGCAGGGACCGAGCAAUGGGAGCUCACCCUGUUGCGGGGAUUCGAACCGCCGACCUGAUCGGCAAGUCCUAGGCUCUGUGGUUUAACCCACAGUGCCACCCGCGUCCCAAAUAUUGGGUUAGCAAUCUUCAAAGCAGAGGUAAAAGGUAAAGGACCGCUGGACGGUUAAGUCCAGUCAAAGGCGACUAUGGGGUUGUGAAAUACUUCCUACUGUUGUAUUCUGGCUGUGUCUGGGAAAUUCCGUACAUUGGCAACCCUAGUUAACCCAGUGACUGGCCCAAGGUCACGCUGUGGGCUUCAUGGCCAAGUGGGGAUUUGAACCCUGGUCUCCCAGGUCCUAGUCCGACACACUAACCAUUACACCACACUGGCUCUACUUUUGAGUAGAGCCUCAAAGCAGAAUGGACAUGGGCACUAAAAAAAUUCUAAAAAUGCUUAUUAGUGUGAAUCUGAAAGAGAACUAUCUUAAAACAAUAUUCUAAUGGUAUUUAACUGCACACAGAAUUAAUAAAAAUUUUGGCCAAAACAUGCAUUGCUCGAGGUACAACGGAAUUAAGAUGGAUUUAAUAGAUAUCUUUUGUUGUUGUAAAAAAAUAAAAAUGCCUUUUUAGACAGAAGUAUUGAAUAUUAUAUGAAUAAUAACAAGCUACAAUCUUCCAAGAAACUCUAAAAUAACUCUCCUUUUCAUACUUCAUCCUGAUGUCAUUAAUAUUGAUUUACAACUGAUUACAGCACUAACAACUGCAAAACACUAUACAGUAUACUGAACAAAAAUGAGAAAAUUAAAACCGUCCUACCAUUGGGUAGGGAAAACUUUGCAUACUAUCUUAAUGAUAAAACUUACAUAUGAGAGAAGCAUAAUACUUAAUAAUCAAGAAAACAAAUUUAUUGAGAAGUGGGCCUUGUUUUUACAUUUCUGGAAUGACAAAGUAAAUGACGAUAGUUUUGUUUUACGUUUAUUCAUGGUAUUAUAGAGUUUUUGUUAUGUUGUCCCUCUCCCCUCUUCACAUGUUAUUUCCUCAGGGGGUUGUCUCCCCCGCCCCCUUUUCACUUGUUUUCCUUCUUUUUUGCAUGAGAAGCAAGCAUGAUUGGUGUAUAAUGUGUUUGGGGUUUUUUUGCUAUAUAUUGUCACAGCAUAAUAUUUAUUUAACAAAUUGAAAUAAUAAAUACUACGACUUAAAUAAAUAAAUAAAUUAGAAUGUCUUUAUGGUUUAAAAUCAUUUCCCACAUAAAUUACUUCUGGAGAAGAAAGGGGUUGCACUAAUGGUAGCGGGGAAGCAAACUCAGAGGAGAGAGGCUGACACAGAAAAUAUACAGAAAAUUCUACUUGCGUUCUAGUGCCAGAAAUGCAAAAACAAAAACAAAAACCAUUUUCCUUCUCAAACUCUCAGGCACUAUUUUUUCUUCCUGUCACAAUGCGUGUGUGUGUGUGUGUGUGUGUGUGUGUGUGUAGAAAAUCCCCAAGCUGAUAAACUAAAAGCAGGCUACUGCUGCUGCAGAAAAAAAGAUACAGUAAUAUAAUUAUCCUAAUGACAUCAGUCAAAGAAUUUCAUGUAACUGAAGCUGAAACUAUGAAUGAAUGAGGAAACUAAUGUUACAAAACCUCUACCGCUCCCACCCCUCUCCUGUGGAAUUAAUACUACGGAGACCUAUAAAAGAUUAAUCAAGGUAAGCAAUCAAUAACUUCUCAAGUGCUAAUAAGCACUGCCAUGUUCUAUGAUAUGUUGAGCACUUUAUCAAGUUUAACCAUAUGAAGAUUUAUGGAAAAUCCAUUGUUAAAACUAAAGGAUGAGGUAAUGCACCACUUAGUAAAUGAAGUGCAAUUACAAUUUAUGCUUGAUAUUGUACAUUCCAGAGAUCUGCAAAAAUCAUUUUGAUUUCUUCCUUUUUAAAGAGAGGAAACUGAGGUACUGUGGUCACACAUCUUGACAUGCAGUUGUGUGAGAACAGCCAGGAAGUCGAUGGUACCCAUCUCUCAAGGAAAGUAACCCUGAAAUACCGUGCUUUUCUUCUUCUCAAAACAGAAACACGCCAAAAACCUAUUAUAAUGUUAUUCAGUUGUUUGACUUUUACUCAACAAAUCUGAAAGAUAAAAUAUAAAAUCUAUUAGGAUUAAAAAGGUUCCUAUUAUUACACAUCAUUCUGAAAGAUUUGUAGGUCGGUCCAAUGAAGGGCUUAAUGGCUUAUUAAUAGCCCAUAAAACAAAGGCCUCAACCCAAAGGGUCAUUGACAGGGACCCUAUGGGGCCCUACAUCCUACUGCAUAUUAUUAACUAAACCUACCAAAUCAUGUGUUUAAGAAAGCUGCUAGAAUUACAUGAAUGGAUCCCAUGUAUUUGUUAUGACAGCCAGCAAUAAGUAUUUCUGCAUGACAGUAAGUCUAGGACAUGUAUUUAUUUUACAGCUCCAUGUUUUAAUUGAUUCAUCAGUGGCCUUAAUCAAUUUUAAUCCAUCAAGUGUUAUGUGGCAGGAGUUGACAACAUUCUCUGGCCAGGAUCCAAACAACUGUACAAUUAUAUCUGUACACCAAAGGAAGCCUGGAGCUUGUGUUUGCUUGAAGAGCAGUCAGCCCAUGAAGCAGAAAGACCUUUCAAGAAGGCAUACCUGAGGGAAGGCUGCAACCUCUAUGCAGUUCUAUCAAAAUAGUCUUCUAUGUAAAGGUAAAGGUAAAGGGGCUCCUGGCCAACUCUGGGGUUGCGGCACUCAUCUCGCUUUAUUGGCCGAGGGAGCCGGCGUACAGCUUCCGGGUCAUGUGGCCAGCAUGACUAAGCCACUUCUGGCAAACCAGAGCAGCACACGGAAAUGCAGUUUACCUUCCCGCCGGAGCGGUACCUAUUUAUCUACUUGCACUUUGACGUGCUUUUGAACUGCUAGGUUGGCAGGAGCCGGGACCGAGCAACGGGAGCUCACCUCGUUGUGGGGAUUCGAACCGUCGACCUUCUGAUCGGCAAAUCCUAGGCUCUGUGGUUUAACCCACUAUUCAACCCAGACUCCCUCGCAGAAGCCUGAAUCACUCUUGGACCUCUCCCUCAGGAGCCAUCAGGACCCUGGUCCUGCAAAGAAAAUGUGGCCAUAAAUACCAGAGGAAAGGAUAGCCCAACACACACAAACACAUUUCAUUACUUGUAGGAGUGUUGUUGUUUAGUCGUGUUCAACUCUUCUCUCCAACAGCAUUUACUUGGACCCUGUGAGGCCACUAUUGGACACCCUGGGAUACUUGUGAUAGUUUUAAACAUAAAUUAUGGGUAAUACAGUAACACUUACUGGUAUUAAUUUUCUAUAAGUAUUUGUCGUGAUCCAACAUGGGCAAUCCAUUCAUGCAUAACCUGAUCCAAAAUGAAGGUUUCUUCCAUGAAUUAACUGGACUUCUUGAAUCAUGACCAAUAUUUCUAAAAUAUCAACAUUGUCAAAUAUCAACUUGCUUGUCAAAGGAGGUGGUACAAUGAAUCACAUCUGGGGUGGGGAUCUGUCUAUUUCAGUUUCUUGUUUUUCAAAUUUUAUAUUAAAUCAUUCACAUCAAUUCACAAUUCCUUAUAAAAAUUAAUUCUACUAUGAAUUUGCUUAAUAUAUACAUUUUUGCAAAGGAAAUUUUCCCUAACAUGAUGCAUUUUUCAUUGCCAUUUUCAUUAACACAUGCAUUUUUGCACGCAUUACUUGACUGGAGAACUGCGCUGCAAAAUUUGGUGUCCUGCAAAUUUCAAAGGAUGGCUGUGUUUCUGUUUUGUUUCAGAAAGUAUGAAUUAGGUAGAUUCGGCCCAGUAUACCUGAAGGAGCGUCUCCACCCCCAUUGUUCUGCCCGGACACUGAGGUCCAGCACUGAGGGACUUCUGGCGGUUCCCUCAUUGCGAGAAGCAAAGCUACAGGGAACCAGGCAGAGGGCCUUCUUGGUAGUGGACAUCCCAUCAGAUGUCAAAGCAAUAAAUAACUACCUGACAUUCAGAAGACAUCUUAAGG